AGCUGCUCUGGUCGGCUGAUCCCCUUCCCCAAAUCCGUAGCUCCCGAAUCCCGAGUCCGCCGACUACUCCCCGGCCCCCGGCAGCCGGACACGACAGCGCACUAGUGCGCGCCGGCGUCCUCCCCGACGGGCUUGCCGGUGGAGUUCCGCCUCUCCAUGCUCGUCCUCGAGGCGCUGCUGGCUCUACAGCUCGUGCCGGCGGAAUCGGGGUGGAAAAGCUUCGCCUGGCGGAACCUGAAGGAAGAGGGCUCAGUGCAGACUGCAGAGCUGAGACGCGAGCGCUCUGCCGCCUUCUCGGUCCCAGCGCCUCCACCCCGGCCUCAACGCCGCUUCCCUCCCUCUGCUGUCCUAGGAGGCGCGCCCAAGUGGCCACCGCAGGGGGGUGGCAUGGUGCCGCACGAAGGCGGCUGCGGCAUGAAGCGCAAGUCGGCGCCUUGGAGUUCGAGGUGCGCCUGUGAUGCUGCACUCACGCCCCGCUCGAAUUGAAAAACUAGCCUGAUGUCAGAUGCCGAUCCUUCCCUUCAUCUAACUUUGACCUUUUGUUCACCCUUAACAGAUUUCUGCGAUUUUAGUUGCUGAAGUUAUCAGUUAUUUCAGGCUUUAUUGUAUGGCAUUGCAUGGUCAUUUUGUGGUAUAGUUGCACAGAAUUGACACUCCAUGUAUCAUCUGGUCCCCUGCUGUGGAGGUGGUGGUGUUCAUGGUUAGUACCUUGGUGGUGCUACAUCGCCCUCCCCUUCCUGUAAGGUUUAUCUCUGCACUAGGUAACUCUUUACACCCUAUUUUUGUGUGUUUGAGGUAAAUGAGAAGUCAUGCAUCCUUGAUUGACUGUUAACAUUGUCAUGUUGAAAAUUUUGGUUCUAUACCAGGAAGUAGCACCGGGUUCAAUUCCCUAAGAAAUACCAUGAUGAACCUUGUAGACUGUUUUUCAGAAAUUUCUAUAUCUAAGUUAUUCUUUGGUCCAACAUGUAGACUGGUUUUGCAGCUUACGUUGGAGUACAUGAGAUAUGCACACGAAUGGGUAAUAUCUAGAACAGUAGCUAGAAUUUCAGUAUGAUCUAAUGGAGUAUUUUGAAUAACUAAUAUAUGACUGUAUAGCAUACCCAUUAAUCUUUAUUUACAACUUGGACCUGCAAAAUGUCACUGGGAGUAUGUAUCUGUACUACUGAUAGGUCUACAUUAGAUGUCUUGAAAAAGAAGUAGGUAACUUUGUACCUUCUGGUCAACUCAUUAACUGUCUAAUCUUAUUGGUUCAUAUUUUGUUUACUCAGGCUUGUGGCUAAGAAAAAUGAUUCAUUAAUGAAAGUACAUUGCGUGCAGUUGCAGGUUCUGGUGCUAUGAUGCCCAGAAUAGCAGUGUUUGCUUAGCCAAGUCUGAAUAUGUAAGAUGUAUGUCUCCAGCUAAUCUUCUACAACAUGUGACCUGAAGACAGCCAUCUCUUUGUCUGAAAAAGGAUCAAACUGGAAUCUCAGAAACCAACAUUUCGGUCAGAUUCUUCUGGUCAAUCUAUACCACUUUUGGCGAACAAGCACAGGAGGAGCAGGCAAAAGAUGCACAUGAAGUGCAGCAAGAAGCAUCCAGCUACAUGGUGAUCCUCAACCUUAGGAGUGAUCAAAGUUGGGUCAUCUAUGAUGAACAACUGAAUUGAGGUAGCUAGUUUAGGCUGUGUGCGAUGAAGUUAGUUUGGUCUUCUGGUACUUCUGUACAGACUGAACCUUAUUACUACAGCAUAAAAAGCUGUUCUGUUUCGCA